CAGUGCUCUCUCUUCAUCCCAGGCUCUCAGGUGCCAGGGAGAAAUGAAAUUCUAGCUGCAACCCUUCUGGGAAACAUCCUGCCUUUCCAUUUAUGGGGAAUAAGUAGAAAAAUGACUGGAGGAGGUGCCACCACAUUAUUAUUAUUAUUAAUUUUUUUUUUUUUUUUUUUUUUUUUUUUUUGGCAAUUGUGGCAAAAAUGUCUCCACUGGGUGUGUAAAGCCCAUCAGGAUGGUAGGAUGGUAUGUAAUGGCCGGCCACCUUCAGCAGGCUCAGCACCUGCAAGCCUUCCUCCACAGGGCCACAUUUAACCCGGGCUCCCUGCGGCCCAGACAUGCCCGCAGUCCUGCAAUGAGUUGCAGAGUGAAGUUAAAACACCCACCACCAGGCAUCUCUCUGGCAAGCCUGGCCCUGGUUCUACCCAGCUCCACAGCACAGCCCCGAGAAGGGACACUGAGGCACAGGAGACUUCACCCCUUUCUGGACCACCAGACCCACUCAUUUGUACUGGCUUUUCCCACCCAUUCAGGGGCUUCCUGGGACCAGAGUUGACCUUGGGCCUCCUUGAAGAAAAGAGAAAUGGCUCUCUGUGCCUUCCCAUAACCCACUCCCCCAAUGAAAACGUUCUCUUUUGAUUUUUGUCCGAAACAGUUCUUUGUUGUGUAAGACUAGGAGGGGACAGAGAGGAGAGGCUGGUGGCAGUGGGAGGGAGACAGGGGUCCUUGCAGGAAACAGAGGAAUUAUGUCAAUAUGCUGCCAAGGGUAGAGGCUGUCAUCACGGGCCUUUACAAGGCGCUGUGGCAGUGAGCGUGCAGUGUUACACAAGGUGUAAUUCAUAAGGGCCCAAAGCCGGCAGUGCCUGUGGAGCUCAGCCCAGGGGCUGGGGUGGCCCAUGCCCUCCUCCAAGGGGGAGCAGCCCCUGCCACCCUUGGCGCACACUGUACCUUGACAUGGAGUGCCCUCUCCCUCCCGAGCCGUUGUGACUUUACUCGUUUCUCAAGGCCCGGCACAGAUGCCACCUCCUCUCCAGAGCCUACUCUGAGCCUUCCAGCCUCGGUCUCCCACCUUCCCCGCGCUGCCCAAAGCCAGCUCAGAAACAACAUCCUAUCCUUCAAGAAACCCACCAUGCCCUGUGGCUGGCCUGGCCUCUUUCUCCAAACACACUGGGAGUUCCUUAAGGGCAGAGCAGCCCUUGUCCUGGCUCCUGUGAAGAGCCUUUGGCAACUCCCUCUUCCUGUUUCACAGGAGGAGCCUCACGACUCAGCGCUUCCGCACCCAGCCUCCUGGCUCUAAGCACAGAGAGCCGCUGCCUCAUUCCCCUUCACGGCCCUUAGCCCCCCUGGCUCUACACAUUUGAGCUCUUUUUUGGUUUAUUGUCUAUUUCUCCUGACUAGAAUGUAAACUCCGUCAGGGUGACUGUUUUUGUGUGUUUUCUUCUCUGCUGUAUCCCCAGCAUCCGGAACGGUGCCCAGCACAGAGUAGGUGCUUAGUAAAUGUUUGUUACACCCAGCUCUUUACAGAGUGAAUUAUGCAGUAGAAUUUUUUCUUGUCUUGAUCCACACACACGCAACAACCGAGGAGAGGUGAUUUGUUCUGCACUGGAAAGCGCGGGGGAGAAGCGAGGUCUUUCAUACCCUCUGAGGUCUCGCCCCUUUUCCUAGAAAAUCUGGAAACUGGUAGCCUCUCUCCAUAGAAUUCUCUUUAUCCAGAGCAUAAGCCCUCAGAGAGCUCCAAGAACAAAUGUUUUUUGCUCACAUCUCUUUUGGAGAACAUUCAGAGAACACCCUGCCUUUUUGAGAGGAGAGAAGUACAGUGACUUCCACAGUGUCACCACUCAGCAAGUCAGUGGCCCGGCCAGAGCCACUCCCGGCGCCAGGCCAGGGCACUGGUCAUGCCCACACUGGCUCUCUCUGCCACCCACUGAGGCUGAGAGAGGCAAAAGACCAGGAAAGGGGCUGACUUUGGAGUUUUGAUCCAAAACUGGGGCUGGGGCUCUGGGGAAGGCCCCAGGCCCAGGAGGCUCUGCACAAAUAGAUCUGGUGAAAACACCCCCAGCUCUUCCUAGGCUCACACUGGGGAACUGGACUGGGAAUUAGGCUGUGUAAGGGGCCUUUGCUUUUUAUUUAUCCGCUUAGGCAUUGUUAUGAACAUUUAAAGACCUGUAGAGAUUAUUUCUUAUUAAAACUUAUUUUCAAAGUUUUAAAAGAAAACGAACAAUUCAUGCAUGGUGUGAAUGGCAAUUAUCUAUUCAACCUAACAAGCAUUUAUUAUGUGCCUACUGUGUGCAGGCCAAAAUUUUAAAUGAAUAAGAGGCAGUCCCCAUUGUGUAGACACAGAGCCGUGAGGGGGAGUGAGACAGAUAAAACAGCAUUAAUAGAAAGGAGGAGGAACCAUGCUAGAGGUGUUUACAGAUACAAUGGGGACACAGGUGACAAUUCAUUCCACCUGAAGAGUCAGGAAAAGCAGCCAGAGGAAAGGUAGCAUUUUCACUCAGACUUGAAGGACCCCAGCCAAGGAGAACAGCAUGAACAUAGCCUAGAGAAGGCAGGAUCUGCGUUUUUAAGGAACUGGACCAAAAGCCUGGGGUGCUGGGUGGCCUCAGAAAUGGGGGUUGGAAGACACUGGAGGUGGGCCAGAAAAAGCAGGUGGCAGGCAGGUGCUGAAAGUCCGUCAGUGGCUGUGACUUCACAGAAAGCUCUCAAAGUCCUGAAGCAGAAAGAGGAGCCGUCAGGCAUUCGGAAGCAAGGCUGAGGGUGAAUGGGCUGGCAGGAGGAGGAGAGGAGAGGCUGGAGACCAGGGAGAAAGCAGAGGGCAAGAAGUUCAAUAUCUAUCAAGGUGCCGGCAUCUGGUGAGGGCCUCCAUGCUGUGUCAUCCCAUGGCCAAAGAUGGAAGGUCAAGAGGGCACAAGAGAGCAAGGGUAAGAGGGGGCUGAACCGGCCUUUCUAACAAGCCCACUCCCGAAAUAACUAACCCACUCCUUCGAUAAUUACAUUAAUCCAUUUAUGAGGGCGGAGCCUUCAUGGCCUCAGCUCCUCUUAAAGGUCCCGCCUUUCAACACUGCUGCAUCAGGGAUUAAGUUUCCAACACAUGACCUGUGGGGGACAUAUUCAAACCACAGCAGGCAGCAACUCACCUCAGGUCACACAGCCAGUUAGUGGUCCUGCAGGACCCCAAAUUCAGGCCUCUUUCUCCUGGGGAGGUAGCCAGGCUGGGCAGACCUCCAUAUGGCAAAAUCUCCCAACCUAUAUGGGACACAGAGGACUGGCCCAGCAAUGCUGACUUGGAGCCCCAUGUAGACUUCCGUGGGCACCGAGUCUGAGAAGCCCUAUAUGCCUGGUGCACCCACUCCUAGAAACUCCUUCAGCUCCAGCCUGGGGUGGGGGUCAGGAGGUUAGCAGCACCAUAGUCUCAUAGCCUCAGACAAAUGCCUUCCUGCUCCCACUUCCAGCUGCCUCCCAUCUGGCCUGGGGGUGGGUGGUGGGGUCCUCUAAACCCUCCCUCCAGAGUGCCAGCCACAAGCUGCCCGCCACAUGGGGAAGAGAGGGAAAGCGGAGAGAAAAGAGGCUCUGGUUGGCCAGCCUAGGUGCCUGUAGACCACUCCUUGGUGGCAGGCAGCCACUGCUGUGUCACAGUGGAAGUCACAGCAGUGACAGGGACCUAGUCUGAUCCACUGGGAUGCAAAUGGACGGCAGCAUGCUGCAGCAGAAGAGGACACAGAUGCCCCGGCAACUGGAGUCUCCCCAGGUCAGGACCAAGCCCACUCAGGACCUGGGUGACAGCAGGAAACUCCAGUUCCUCUGUUUCCUGCCUUGCUCUGUACCAAUUCUCCCUCCCUCCGCACACUCCAUCCUUUCUUUUCUUUUCCUCCCGUCUCUCUCAUACCUCCCUCAGUUCCCCUGCUUCCCUGCCCCUCCCUCCUCCUCCAUGGUUGUUAUUCCUCUGGGUUGAGCAUUGCCCUCCCCUGUGUCCUCUUUGUAAAUCCCCCAGGGAAGUCCUCAGGUUGUUUCAGUGACUUCCCUGGAAGGACACAAAUGAGAACACAAAAUGUGGGAUGAGGAACAUCUCCUUCCAUUCUCCCAUUUGGCCUCUUGAGCCCUGCCUUGGGACUGCAAUGACAGGAGAAGAAGCCAGAAAAAACAAAGGGGAGUCUGGGAAGCGGAGAAAGCGCCAGCACCUGCCCACAGGGAGGAGUGGGGACGGGCAGGGGGAAAACUGGGCCAACCCCAAAUUUCAACCCCGGAAGUGCCCAGAGUUCCACUCUGGCAGGGGCAGGGACCUGGGAGAGCCAUCUUCCUCCACAUCCCUGGCUCUCCCUUGAGCCUGAAGAAUAUGUGUCACCUGCCUAAUGAGGCACAGAAGGUGGAAUGGGGUUACAAAGUGUCAAUGAAGCCAUUUCCCACCACGCACAGCAACUAGAUGUGGCAGGUCUGCGGCAAGAACUGGCCCACGAUCCCUGUCACCCCACUGUCCCCCUCCUGGGGAGCCUGAGGCCACUGCUGUUCAUUCCCCAAGGGGUGGUCUCAGCCAGCACACCCAGCCCCAGCUGGCUCGAGAACUGUCAAAUGUCUCCUACAUCGCACACCAGCUGAACGCGGCCUGCAGCCUGAACGUACUGUCCCACACACUUGCACUGCCAUUUUUCAGAUGUCUAAAGAUGCUCUUGUGAUUAAUAAAACGCAAAUGCAUCCAAA